rnacentral:tRNA from 1 species
UCCCUGAUGUUCUAGUGGUCAGGAUUCAGCUCUCUCACCGCCACGGUCCGGGUUCGAUUCCUGGUCAGGGAA